rnacentral:rRNA from 1 species
AUUGAACGCUGGCGGCAGGCCUAACACAUGCAAGUCGAGCGGAUGAAGGGAGCUUGCUCCUGGAUUCAGCGGCGGACGGGUGAGUAAUGCCUAGGAAUCUGCCUGGUAGUGGGGGAUAACGUCCGGAAACGGGCGCUAAUACCGCAUACGUCCUGAGGGAGAAAGUGGGGGAUCUUCGGACCUCACGCUAUCAGAUGAGCCUAGGUCGGAUUAGCUAGUUGGUGGGGUAAAGGCCUACCAAGGCGACGAUCCGUAACUGGUCUGAGAGGGUGAUCAGUCACACUGGAACUGAGACCGGGUCCAGACUCCUACGAGGGGCAGCAGUGGAGAAUUGUGGACUAGGGGCGAACGCCUGAUCCAGCCAUGCCGCGUGUGUGAAGAAGGUCUUCGGAUUGUAAAGCACUUUAAGUUGGGAGAAAGGGCAGUAAGUUAAUACCUUGCUGUUUUGACGUUACCAACAGAAUAAGCACCGGCUAACUUCG